rnacentral:sRNA from 1 species
GCUGUACUAACGAACGUUAAAGAUUUCCGGGCAGUCCUCAUUACCAGGCGCUAUCGUUGAUAUCACCUCCUUUUGAGUCCAUACGUUUAAUAUUAUACGUUUACUAUCAAUACAAUCAUGUAUAACGGGAGUCAGUAUGACAUCAAGAAUUAAAGGUCUGGUGAAAUGGUUUAACGAAGAUAAAGGUUUUGGCUUCAUAUCUCCUCUUGAUGGCAGCAAAGAUAUCUUUGUCCAUUUUUCUGCGCUUAAUGGCGACAACUUUAAAACUUUAUUUGAAGGGCAGAAAGUUGAAUUCGCUAUUCACAGCGGUGACAAAGGUCCUGCUGCAGCAAACGUAAUA